AACGCUGGCGGCGUGCCUAACACAUGCAAGUCGAGCGAGGGUUUGCUCAGUAUUGAGUAUUCUAAGACUAGAAUGUUCAAUUCUGAGCAAAACCAAGCGGCGGACGGGUGAGUAACGCGUGGGUAACCUGCCCUAUACACAUGGAUAACAUACUGAAAAGUUUACUAAUACAUGAUAAUAUAUAUUUGCGGCAUCGCAGAUAUAUCAAAGUGUUAGCGGUAUAGGAUGGACCCGCGUCUGAUUAGCUAGUUGGUGAGAUAACUGCCCACCAAGGCGACGAUCAGUAGCCGACCUGAGAGGGUGAUCGGCCACAUUGGAACUGAGACACGGUCCAAACUCCUACGGGAGGCAGCAGUGGGGAAUAUUGCACAAUGGGCGAAAGCCUGGUGCAGCAACGCCGCGUGAACGAUGAAGGUCUUCGGAUCGUAAAGUUCUGUUGCAGGGGAAAAUAAUGACGGUACCCUGUGAGGAAGCCCCGGCUAACUACGUGCCAGCAGCCGCGGUAAUACGUAGGGGGCUAGCGUUAUCCGGAUUUACUGGGCGUAAAGGGUGCGUAGGUGGUCCUUCAAGUCGGUGGUUAAAGGCUACGGCUCAACCGUAGUAAGCCGCCGAAACUGGAGGACUUGAGUGCAGGAGAGGAAAGUGGAAUUCCCAGUGUAGCGGUGAAAUGCGUAGAUAUUGGGAGGAACACCAGUAGCGAAGGCGGCUUUCUGGACUGCAACUGACACUGAGGCACGAAAGCGUGGGUAGCAAACAGGAUUAGAUACCCUGGUAGUCCACGCUGUAAACGAUGAGUACUAGGGGGUCGGGGGUUACCCCCCCUCCGGUGCCGCAGCUAACGCAUUAAGUACUCCGCCCGGGGAGUACGCAGGCACGUGUGAAAACUCAAAGGAAUUGACGGGGACCUGCACAAGUAGAGGA
rnacentral:rRNA from 1 species